rnacentral:lncRNA from 1 species
CGUUUGUUCUUCAUGUUCAUUUCUUCAUUUCUUGCCUCCUUUGAUCUUCAAUUUCGUCCAUCCAUUUGACUCUGAUGCGAAAUAUAUUAAGCACACAAAUUAAACCCUCUUUUUGUCAAAUUGUAGCAAAGAUGUAAGUAGGGAUCGUUCUAAACCGGGGAUUAGGAGGGAUUGCUAAACACUUGGAAACUGACUUAAAAACUCAAAAACAACGUUUAAACCACUAAACUAGACCCAAAGAAUGCAAAAGUAAAGGUUAAAACACUUAAACAAACCUAAAACUCAAAACAGCAACUAGAAGGC